UGAAGUUACUUACUUUUUUUGUUAUCCCAAGAUCGUAUUGAAAGUACGCAGAAAAAUAAUUUACUUCAAAAGGUGGAUAAUUAUCUUCAACAUUGUUUUCGUGAAGACUAAGACACUGGGAUUUUACACCCAACCAAAAAUUAUUUCCGUAAUAAAAACCAGGUUUCGGUAUUCCACUUGAAUCUAACACUAUUUAAUUGUAGGAAAAAAUAAAAACAAAUAUAAAUAAAUAAUAAUAUAAUAAUAACUAAUGAACGGACUUUAAUGCCUUAAAAAAAUGCUUUUAGAUCAUAAAAAUGAACAAUAAUUUGAUAACUAAUAGUUUUGAACA